CGCUAGCGGCAGGCUUAACACAUGCAAGUCGAGGGGUAGAGUUAGCUUGCUAACUUGAGACCGGCGCACGGGUGCGUAACGCGUAUGCAAUCUACCUUUUACAGAGGGAUAGCCCAGAGAAACUUGGAUUAAUACCUCAUAGUAUAAUGACCCGGCAUCGGGAUGUUAUUAAAGUCACAACGGUAAAAGAUGAGCAUGCGUCCUAUUAGCUAGUUGGUGUGGUAACGGCACACCAAGGCUACGAUAGGUAGGGGUCCUGAGAGGGAGAUCCCCCACACUGGUACUGAGACACGGACCAGACUCCUACGGGAGGCAGCAGUGAGGAAUAUUGGUCAAUGGGCGCAAGCCUGAACCAGCCAUGCCGCGUGCAGGAUGAAGCAUCUAUGGUGUGUAAACUGCUUUUGUACGAGAAGAUACACUCCUACGUGUAGGAGCUUGACGGCAUCGUAAGAAUAAGGACCGGCUAACUCCGUGCCAGCAGCCGCGGUAAUACGGAGGGUCCAAGCGUUAUCCGGAAUCAUUGGGUUUAAAGGGUCCGUAGGCGGGUUUAUAAGUCAGUGGUGAAAGCCCAUCGCUCAACGAUGGAACGGCCAUUGAUACUGUAGAUCUUGAAUUAUUAGGAAGUAACUAGAAUAUGUAGUGUAGCGGUGAAAUGCUUAGAGAUUACAUGGAAUACCGAUUGCGAAGGCAGGUUACUACUAA
rnacentral:rRNA from 1 species